rnacentral:lncRNA from 1 species
CGUGUGCUAUUCCCAUCUCGUGUCUACUCGGUGCUGUCAGCAAACGUCCACCACGCUUUCGCGUGCGUUUUUAUUGACAACUUUUCGAUUGCAUGGAUGCCAAGUUUGUCAUGC